AAAACAUAGCCUACUAUUUAACUUAGGUACAACCCUGCCCUCUGACUUUUAACAGCCGCGGUAUCCUAACCGUGCUAAGGUAGCAUAAUCACUUGCCUAUUAAUUAUAGGCUAGAAUGAACGGGAUCACUCACUUAAACUUAUUUUUAUUUAAAUUUAAAUUAAACUUUAAGUCAAAAUACUAAAUUAAAAAGAAAGACAAAAAGACCCUGAAAACUAUUAGAAAUAAUUAGUUGGGGCAACUAUAGACCACUCUAGCGUCUAUUUUUUUUAAACUCUUAAAAUCUAAAGUAUCCAGUUACUUCAGGGAUAACAGACUAAUUUUAUUAUUUAGACCCAAUAAAUAAUAAAGAUUGGCACCUCGAUGUUGGCUUAUAUUUCCUUCAUAUAGCAACAUAUAUAGAAGGCAGCUUGUUCAUCUGUUAAAUAUUUACAUGAGCUGAGUU
rnacentral:rRNA from 2 species